CCUACGGGUGGCAGCAGUGGGGAAUAUUGCACAAUGGGGGAAACCCUGAUGCAGCGACGCCGCGUGAGUGAAGAAGUAUUUCGGUACGUAAAGCUCUAUCAGCAGGGAAGAAAAUGACAGUACCUGACUAUUAACCUCCGGCUAACUCCGUUCCAGCAGCCGCGGUACUACGUAGGGGGCAAGCGUUCUCCGGAUUUACUGGGUGUACAGGGAGCGUAGGCGGCAGGGCAAGUCUGGAGUGAAAUCCCUUGGCUUAACCAUGGAACUGCUUUGGAAACUGGGAGGCUGGAGUGCAGGAGAGGUAAGUGGAAUUCCUAGUGUAGCGGUGAAAUGCGUAGAUAUUAGGAGGAACACCAGUGGCGAAGGCGGCUUACUGGACUGUAACUGACGUUGAGGCUCGAAAGCGUGGGGAGCAAACAGGAUUAGAUACCCCAGUAGUC
rnacentral:rRNA from 1 species